CCGCCAUGGUGGGUGGUUGAAAGACCCGAGCUAACAUGGGGUUAGCUCGUUAAAUUACAAUAAAGCCUCGUGCAGUUUGCAGCAAGCUCUCGAAUCCGCCUGGUGAUUGGGGUGACCGCGAACCUGGCCUGAGACCCCGGAUACUUGAGUUUUCGGGGGUCUAACAUUUUGGGGGCUCGUCCGGGAUUUGCGACCACCCUUCACCUGAGUGGAUUCGAUCUUGGAGAUGCGCCGGAGGACAGACUGCCACUCUGAGGACACCCAGGACCCAAGAGUUUAUAAUGUCAGACAGACUGCCAGAUCCGGACAGUGACCCAAAGUCUCCAAAGAAGAUUACGAGGCACCUCAGUUCCUGCACCUGGACCAGUGAGCGAGAUGCUCAGAUGUGAUACCUGCCGCCUGCCAGAACCUGGCCGAGACUGUGGACAAAGCUGCUGGACACUGGAAAAUUGAUUGCACCCCUUUGCCUAGACAAAACAAGGUUUCUGCUUCUGGCAGACAUCUGAAUAUCAGUUGCUGACUACAGACUGUUCUAAGACUGCGAGCCCUGGACUUGCUGUGGAUGUGAACCAGUUCAGCUGAUAUGGACACCCCCUGUCUCUGCAACAGUGUCUGCUACCCAGAAGCCCCUGAUAAAUUCCCCAUUGCCUAAAUCCCUUUUUGCUUUUGACUAGCAUUUCAACCUUCUGGGGUCCCUAACUUCGUCCCAAAGUCAGCAGAAAGCAGUUUAGAAAAGAAUUUCGGCGUCCAUUUUCCCUGGUUAAAAUGCUAAGUCAAAAGGAACUCCCUUACAUGGGGAUGCCAAUAUCUAUCACUCCCUGAUGGGGAUGCUAGAGAGACAGCAAUUCCAUGAUUGAAAUUUCCAGAAAAGAAAAUGGGGGAAUGAAGGAACCGGCUUCCCUUUUGGCAGCCAUAAUGGUUGAACAUGUGCUUCUAUGACCUUGUCCUAGAAACCAGAAAGUCAGAUGCCUGUCUUGUGACAAGGAACCAAUCAGAAGUUAGCUGGUGGUGCUAUGCUUUAUGGCUCUGGGUGUGCUUUACGGACAAGCGCACAGCAAUGACGUAGAGAGCAUAGCAACCACCCUGGGAGGGCCUAUGAGCCAUAACAACCAGUUGACCAAUCAACACAGGGCAAGCCCUCCAAGCCUGGAGGCACACCAAUCGUAAGCCUGUGCGUACCCCUAGACACUCCCCUUACGCUGCCCUAUAAGAUCUUUUGGGAGACCCAAGGAGCCGUCUUCU
rnacentral:lncRNA from 1 species